rnacentral:pre_miRNA from 1 species
CCUUAACGAGAAUCUGAUACGGUUCCAGUCAGACCGGAGGGAAAAUACGCUAAUACAGCUUCGCAACC